CAGCAACUGCCUUCAGGAUUUAAGGAGAAAAACCAGUGUACUGCUUUGAGAACUGGUGAAAGAAAUGGAAGAGGCCGGCUCAGCUAUCCUCUGAUCCAAGAGCAGUGAAUGUCAUGGGUGGUCUCCUGUCUUCUCUUCCUCAUCCCCUUCUUUCCUGGGAGCUGCUGGAUUCACCUGUCCCUUCAAGGACCACAGAAGAGCAAAAUGUGUAGCACCCCACAGAUUUCAGGAAGUAUCAGGCUGCCUCUGAAGCUCAGCCACUGAAGACACAUUGAGGGGGACACCCAACAUGUGAAGGGAAGAGUGAAAGGGGGUUCCUGCAGCACCAGGACCAGAGCCUUGUCUUCAUGCAUCUUGCGAGUAGAUGGCAGGAUACCAUUGACUGUGUGCUGUAUGAAGUGUCAGAGUACUUUGUUUGGGUAAACAUUGCUAUAAUGUAAACAGCUCUCUGUCCCGGAAGAGGAGAUGUUUUGCAAGCAUAGCUGUUUUUCAACCCAUCUCUUUAAGUGGAUGUCCAAGCUAUGAGGAGAAAAACAAAAUGCACAAAAGAAAAAACCAAGAGAGAAUUUGAGCAGGUGCAUAUCUGCCUCUGUUCUUGGUAAUCGCUUUAAGACGUUAAUGAAGUGAUUCUUGUAUUUCAAGGAAAACAUGUUCUUCGUAUUUUUGCUAUAUAAAACAAUGCACAACAUGAGAGAAAAUGUAAUCAAUUAUGUCUCACUCUGCCUUAACAAAAAAUUGCUUAGUGUUGUCUCUAAUAAACCUAAAAAUGAGGAAUGA